rnacentral:rRNA from 1 species
GAUGAACGCUGGCGGCGUGCCUAAUACAUGCAAGUCGAGCGAACAGACGAGGAGCUUGCUCCUCUGACGUUAGCGGCGGACGGGUGAGUAACACGUGGAUAACCUACCUAUAAGCCUGGGAUAACUUCGGGAAACCGGAGCUAAUACCGGAUAAUAUAUUGAACCACAUGGUUCAAUAGUGAAAGACGGUUUUGCUGUCACUUAUAGAUGGAUCCGCGCCGCAUUAGCUAGUUGGUAAGGUAACGGCUUACCAAGGCGACGAUGCGUAGCCGACCUGAGAGGGUGAUCGGCCACACUGGAACUGAGACACGGUCCAGACUCCUACGGGAGGCAGCAGUAGGGAAUCUUCCGCAAUGGGCGAAAGCCUGACGGAGCAACGCCGCGUGAGUGAUGAAGGUCUUCGGAUCGUAAAACUCUGUUAUUAGGGAAGAACAAAUGUGUAAGUAACUAUGCACGUCUUGACGGUACCUAAUCAGAAAGCCACGGCUAACUACGUG